AGUGAACGCUGGCGGUAGGCCUAACACAUGCAAGUCGAACGGCAGCACAGUAAGAGCUUGCUCUUACGGGUGGCGAGUGGCGGACGGGUGAGGAAUACAUCGGAAUCUACUUUUUCGUGGGGGAUAACGUAGGGAAACUUACGCUAAUACCGCAUACGACCUACGGGUGAAAGCAGGGGAUCUUCGGACCUUGCGCGAUUGAAUGAGCCGAUGUCGGAUUAGCUAGUUGGCGGGGUAAAGGCCCACCAAGGCGACGAUCCGUAGCUGGUCUGAGAGGAUGAUCAGCCACACUGGAACUGAGACACGGUCCAGACUCCUACGGGAGGCAGCAGUGGGGAAUAUUGGACAAAGGGCGCAAGCCUGAUCCAGCCAUACCGCGUGGGUGAAGAAGGCCUUCGGGUUGUAAAGCCCUUUUGUUGGGAAAGAAAAGCAGCAGGUUAAUAACCCGCUGUUCUGACGGUACCCAAAGAAUAAGCACCGGCUAACUUCGUG
rnacentral:rRNA from 1 species